rnacentral:rRNA from 1 species
UACAGAGGGUGCAAGCGUUGUUCGGAAUUAUUGGGCGUAAAGGGCGCGUAGGCGGUGCGGUAAGUCUGCAGUGAAAUCUCUGGGCUCAACUCAGAGUCUGCUGUAGAAACUGCCGUGCUUGAGUGUGGGAGAGGUGAGUGGAAUUCCCGGUGUAGCGGUGAAAUGCGUAGAUAUCGGGAGGAGCACCUGUGGCGAAAGCGGCUCACUGGACCACAACUGACGCUGAGGCGCGAAAGCUAGGGGAGCAAACAGG